UACGAAGGGUGCAAGCGUUACUCGGAAUUACUGGGCGUAAAGCGUGCGUAGGCGGUUUGUUAAGUCUGUUGUGAAAGCCCCGGGCUCAACCUGGGAAUGGCAAUGGAAACUGGCGAGCUAGAGUACGGUAGAGGAGAGUGGAAUUCCCGGUGUAGCAGUGAAAUGCGUAGAGAUCGGGAGGAACAUCAGUUGCGAAGGCGGCUCUCUGGACCAGUACUGACGCUGAGGCACGAAAGCGUGGGGAGCGAACAGG
rnacentral:rRNA from 1 species